ACACAGAAAGACAAAUACUGUAUGAUGUCAUUUAUAUGUGGAAUCUGGAAAAAAAAAUGUUCAAACUCAUAGAAGCAGAGAGUAGAACUGGUUAUUUGGGGCUGGGAGGGGUAGGGGAAGUGGGGAGAUGUUGGUCAGAGGGUAUAAAUUUGCAAUUAUGUUGGAUGAAUAAGUCUAGAGAUCUAAUGUAGAAGAAUGAUGACUAUACUUAGUAAUAAUACUGAAUCGAACAAUGGAAGUAAGCUGCGAGGACAGAUUCAUGUGCACUCAUCACACACACAAAACUGGUAGCUAUAUGAGGAGACACGUUAAUUAGCUGAACAGUAAUAAUCAUUUCACAAUGUAUAUGCAUACUAGAUUAUACUGUACACUGUAAACAUAUACAAUUUUUUAAAAAAUUUUUAAAGGGACUGAUAUGGGAUAUAAAGAACAUUUAAGUGAAAUUCAUAUAUUUAUGUGUAUCUAUGUAUCUAUAUAAAUAUACAUAUAAAUUUUCUUAAAGACCUAGAGACAUAUCUGCAGUCUGCUACCUACCAGCUUCUAGCUGAAUACAUGUCACUACUGUCAUCCUGAGUAAGUUAUACAAUCUCUCUGGAUUUCGGUUUCCAGAACUCUAAUAAUGCCAACCUCAUAGAGUUUGCAAUUAAUCACCGUGUGUACUAGGCCUGUUAUACACCACGUGCCUAUCAAUGAAUAGCUUUAGAAACUGUAUUAGGCAUUUUAAUAUUAUGGAUGGCAAAUAGGUUUAAUUUCUAGUGUCAGCUCUGAGUAAUUCAGUAUGGCCACCUGGACUGCUAUGUCCAGAAUGACUGUGAGACUGUGACUAGGCUCGGCAGAAAAGAGUGGUGUGAUCAAUUAUUGAUGUCUGCUCCUGGCCCCAAAUGAGGGAGUGUAUUUUCAAUCCUGAGUCUAGUGAAAAGGUCACAAUAUGUCAGGAGACCUGGUCUUUCUGUCUCCAAUUAGCUGGAUAACCUAGGAACAUCUUUUAUUCCCUCUGGGUCUCAUUUUCCCCAAUGUAAAAUGAGUAAGCAGAAUUUUAUGGCCCCUUAGGUCUCUGAGUCUGACUAUUCUGAUUUUAAUCUAGAAAAUACUGUUUCUGGUUUACAGGUGUGGAAUGUUAAUACAUUUAAAAAAACCCAUCUUGCAUUAAGUACACUUACAUAUGAGAAAUUGUUCUAUGGCCCUGUUUAGAAGAACAUGCACCAUCACCUAAGUGAAAUGGUGUGGAGGUCUGUAAAUGAAGUGAUAUUCGAGGUGUCCUCUUACCUGCAGUGUGCUCCUAUUUCUCCCAAAAUCUCUCUGGGCCUCAGUUUCAUCACCUGGAAAAAUGGAAGAAAAAUUAUGACUGUACCCUCCUGAUUCUCUGAAAUGUGAAGCAAAGGAAGGACAUGUUUCCUCAGUGCUUUGAACUUGUCAGAAGGCAGACCUUCUGUGACUCUAAAGUACGAGCAUUCACAGAAAAAUGUGGCCCAGAAAUUGAUCCCUUGAUAUGAUGCACAUUAAUAUCCAUUUGAUGUACUACAGCUUUAUUACAACAGAGUAAUGCUUCCAGAAGGAAAAAGAGAUUGGUUUUAAAAAACCCAGACUUUUAUCAUUUUUCCUUUAAGCUGAGCUUCCCUUUUCCUUAGUGUAAAUCCUAGAGUCUCCAAGGUUAAAAACAUGAUCAAAGCUGAAAGAAGCUUGGUGUCAAAGUAGUCCUCUUGCCAAAAAUGGCCUCCACAGGAGUAUACAGACAUCUGCUACUUAAUAUACUUAAAACCAACUUGCUGUGGAAAAGAUGCAAAAAUGAGUCCACACGAAGUUGAAAUACCUCGGCUCCAUAACCCCUUAAGACAACUGAUUCUAUGCCAAAUUCUGUUCCUGUGGACAAAGCCAGAACUUGAAAGAUGUCUCAUUAUCCCCCAAAGCCAACAUUCAUAAGAAUAACUAAAUCAACAAUGGGAAAAAAAUAAAAGCCCCAACUCUCACCUCAGACAUGCUUCUAGGACAGAGAAGAUGAGCCAAACUAGGUAGAGAAUGAAUGUGCUUCCUGAUCAUGAUGAAUCAACAACUUUAGCAGGGCAAUUGAAGAAGACAGAAUUUCUACCAUUUAUUCCACCCAACUAUAUUUUGUUCUUUGACUCUUAAUGGUAGAUCCUGGGUAGUGAUGAUGAGAGCAACAGUAACGACUACUGCAAGGAGCUUUGAGAAUGGAACUCCUUCUGUCUGUUUCAACUGAGGUGUCAAUAUGACAGAUUCAAAAGAACAAGAGUCCACUUUGUCCAGGAGGAGGACGAAGUUCCCAUUCACUUAUCUGAUAUUUGAUAGUCAUCAAGUGUACGGGCUUUAGAAUUCGAGGAAGUGAGGGCUGCUGUGUUGUGCGUGUCCAGGGAGCACCACCGACAUCAUCAUCUAUGUGGACAGUGCUCUUGGGGCUGGGCAGUACAUAAUCCACACAACCAUAUUUGGUGGGACUGAUUCAACAACAUAUACUGGGAGCAGUCACUGGAGGUGAAGCUACGUGAGGCAGCUCUGCUGAUGCAGUCCAGCUGGGGUCUGACAAUGUGAUGGGGAGACAGAUACAUGAAAGGACUAAAGGAUGAAUGAGAGAUAACCAAGGAAGGAGAUGCAGGAAGAAUGAUUUCAGCAAAGGAAACAGUGACUGCAAGGCUUCCAGGUGAGAGAACAGAGUGGAUUCCAUGAAGGAAAGAUGCUUGCUACAGCUGGACUGUGACCUCCCAACAUAUUGUCCUUCAAUGCCUCAGGUACAGCCCUGACUCAUUGUUUGAAGAAGAAGAAUCAACAGAUCAGAUGCCAAAGAGAAAAGAAGAGGUGUGAUAUAUGCAUGGAUUUUCUGCAGUUUGGUACAUGGUAACCAUAGUAUUACUGCAUCAAGAUUUCCACAUAAAGUUCAUUAUCCAUCUAUUGCCAAGUUAAUGGCAAAAGAAAUGUUACUCAGAAAAACUCCAUCCAUUAGCAUCACUAAUCGACUCAUGAGAAAAGUAAGUCAUAAUGAUGAUGAUAAUGAUGUUAGCCUUUACCAUUCAUAUUUUAAAGCAGUGUACAUCCAUUUACCUGUGUUAUCUCCUUUACGCUAGUAAAAACCUCAUGAAAGGGGAAAUAUUUUCAUCCUGGCUUUACAGACAAGGAAACUGAAGCUAGGAUGGGUUAAGAAAUUUGUCUGAGGUCACAAAGUUUAAGUGGCAGAACUGAAACCUAACAGCAUGUGCUCUAUAGCCUAACUCCCCGUUGUUUUUUUUUAUAUUUUGCUUGUUUUGUGUGUCUUAUGAGGGGGAGGUAAUUAGGUUUAUUCAUUUAUUUAUCUUUGGAGGAGGCACUGGGCAUUGAACCCAGGACCUUGUGCAUGUUAAGCACAUGCUAUAUCACUUGAGCUAUACCCUCCCCCUCAACUUCCCCUUUUAAAUUAACUUUUUCUUGGGUCCAAAACAAAAAAACACUCUAGUUCUGAAUUGUAAAGUGCUCCAUCUUUAUAUACCCUGUCCACUGAGUCUUUGGACGUCAUAAUGGUCCCCACAAAUCAAGUGUGAAACUACUUUUUUUUUUGAGCUUUUCUGCAAAGCAGCAUGUGCACUCAACUCAUUCUUCAUCUUCCAAGUCUUCCCUACCAUCUCCCCAAGCAGGGAAGCCCCAUUGAAUUGACCCUUGAGAACUUUCUGCAAAUUAAUCAUUCUGAAUCCUGAAGCUCAGCAAAAUGUUUCCCAUUCUAACCAGAGUGCAGCAACUAUUUCUGGCACCCAAAGAAUGCUUUCCCUGGCUACCAGGAAGACCUUUGAGACUAGCUGAAAGGAAAUGGCAGAACUGUUCUUAACUGUGAGGUCAUCUAGAGCUGGUGGCCCUCCGACCUAAGGAAAAAGGAUAUUUUUCCUUGGGUAAGAUUUUCUAGCCAUAAACUUGUUUUAUUGUACCCAUUGUUUUAUCAACGACAGUAUCAUCUCCCUGAGGACCUUUUUGCUUUUGGUCUUCCAUGAGUCAUUUGGAAUUUUCACUGAGACUCAACCCUAGUUACCUAAGCAUCAGAUUCCUGCACUCUUUGGGGGUUUACUUUUUAAAUAUAAGAUCUAAUCAUUUCAUGCCAAGAGGCUGUAUGUUUUGUGAAGUUCCUGAAGUCCAGUAAAAGCACAAAGAUUCUACUUUUCAUUCAGUGUAAGUUGUUAUAUAUUUAAACCAAGGCUAUUCUUGGUUUACAUUUGAAUAAAGUUUUGAAGCAUUUAUUAUAUGCCCACCUCUGCGCUAAAAGGUCACAUAUACUAUUGCUUUUAUCAAAAUACGAUUUUAUUUUACAAGAACUCUUGGGCGUGGGAAGUAUUACUAUUAUUAUUACUCUCACUUUACUGUUGAGAAUGUGCUUAAAUAACUUGCUCAAAAUGUUGACAAUUUCUGAAGUGGAGUGAUGGGUACAUGAGAGUUUAUUGUACUAUUUUCUCUAAUUUUACUUAUGUUUAAAUUUUGUCUAUAAUACAGUGUCAUUGCUGUUGCUUUUACAUUAACAUUCCAAAGGCACCCAGUUCAUGAGAAGAGCCUGUGGUUUCAAAUCCCAGUUUAUUAGCCUGCAAAGUCCAGGCUCCAUUAACAUGACCAUACUGUUGACUACUGCCCACUUGAAAAUGUUAGUCGAUGUCUGCGUCAUACCAGAACAACUUCCUAGAAAACCCAAACCCAAGUUUGGGUCAGCCCAUUUGAUAUACUCUGCAGUAGACAGCCAUCCUAAAAAGAUUCUUGGAUUGAAAUUCCUGAGUGUACUACAUGACAAAAAGCAUUUCUUAUCUGAAAAUGGCUGAGUGUUUUUUCAGAGCAAGCAAAGCCACAUUCUUACCAUGAAUAAGCUGUAUUUGUUUAUUUGUUUAUGUACUCAUUUAUUUAUUUAGCAUACUAUUUGUGGUAUAAACAGCCCCUCCUUUUUGGGUGUUGGGAACCCAUGAACAGCAAAUAUGGUAUCUGGCCGCAAUUCUAGCAUAAUAUGAGCACCACAUUUGCUGUUUCCUGGUUAUUUAUCUCUCGAGAUACAUACUCCUGAUCUCAAAUAAUGACCAGGGGAUAUUUAAGAUGGGGUCUAGACUAUCCUUUUACUAAACACCUAACAGCAAUACACAGCUCAUGUUUCCAUAACCAAGUGCUAUUGAUUUCAUGGCUUCAUUCUUUUGUUUUUUAAGGUGGCCUGUAAAAAUGUAUUUGUUUCCUAAUGGACAGUGGUAAGUUUAUUUUCUCCUGUAGAAUCUUACAAGCCCCUGUGAUACAUGCCGUCAUUCUCAGAUAUGGGGAAAUCAGGCUUAGGACUGACCCUGACACCAAUUUUCCAAUAACAUUUAUGAACAACUUAUAGCCACAACUGUUAGAUACAUCCCCGUGACUUGUCAUUUCAUUAUGUCCUUGAGAAAACAUGCGAUUUCUUCCUCGUGCCAGAGUUUCGUUUAAGUGGACCUCAGACUUGCCUGAGGGAUAGUUUCUGGAGAAGCAAGGAGUUCUGGGAAGCAUCAACCAUCUGUCAGGGGUGGGGGAAGCAUUACUUAGUUUGUAAAAAGAAGAAAAAGAAGCUCUGUGGAGCUUAAGAACAUAAACUGGGGGAAAAAAAAAAGAGGAGAGGGGCUGUUGGGUUGCGUUCUUUCCUUAUCAGUAAAAUGGCUUAUUCAGAUAAAUCUUCUCCGUGGAAACCCCUCUGAUGCUGUGGUUUCUGAACAUAAGGAAAACAUUUUGAGCCACUGAAAAUGCUGAUAAGGCAGUAAUACAACAGCCGUUUUCUUGGCCAAAUCUGUUAUUCCAUAAAGAUGCGUAUCAUAUAUAAGUUAUUUAAAUACCACAAAACAUACUGAAGGCCUAUCUCUUGUUAAAAUAGGUGACUGAAAAUUAAUAUAUCCGAGCAAAAUAUUAUCAUGGCACUAGGGAGGUAAGAUCAAAAGCUGAACAAAGGUUCACCUCUUCUCCAAACCCAUCCCAGCCCUCGCCCCCAUCACUGAAUUAAAGCAAACAUGUCUUUGUAAUUCUCCGGCUUGAUGUCUUGAUCCAGGAGCUUUUUAUGCUUAUCAGACCCUACAUCCCCUUUCUAUUACAAAUAUUUGAUAACAUAACCAACCUACACACACAAAACUUGAAAAAUAUUAACAUGAUGACUUCACUAUAAUAUAGAGGAAAAACAAAGAAAAUCUAUUUAUUACUAAAUUAACACAUUUUAAAAUAUAAGUGCUCAGGCAUGAUUACACUAAAAGACAUACUGAUGCUUCACCCCCUUAUAUGAAAGCAUUUUGAAUUGAAGAAAAGUUAAGAGUACUUGUAGGACGUAUCCAAUCUUUCUCUUUCCAUUUGACAUUUUGAAAUGAGAACUAAAUAAGUAUAUUCACAUAUGCACGCACAGAAUUACCAUGAGUGUGACAGCUACAAACUCAAACUGAUACUCAAACGCAAACAAAUUUUCCUAAGUUGUAUUGUCAUUAGUGACAGGAUUUUUUUGAAAUGGUGAACUAAAAAUCUCUGAAGGUAAUAAACUAUAAUCUACCCGCUGUAGCUGCAUUCCUGGAAAAUAAAAUAAUAUUAAACCAUUAUCUAUCUAUCAUCUUUUUUAGUCUAGGUUCUAUAUAGGGUAAUCAUAUGCAGGUUUUGAAAUCAAAUACACAUCCAGCAGAAUUUCUGAAAGUCAUACAGGGCUCAGGAAAAUUUCUAAUUUUAUGUGACUACCUUGUACAUUACAGGAUGCCAACCACUCCCAAACUCAACCCACUAAAUGCCAGUCGCAUCCCCUCAAUUGUGAAAACAUAAAUUAUCACCACAAAACUCGGAAAAGCCUCCUAGUGGUUGUGCUCUUCUUGAGAAUCAGUAUCUAAUGGAAACAUCAAUGCUUUCCUGCACAACUCGUACUGCGGUUCCUACCAGGGAUGCAUUCUUCUCACUUUCUUCCAGUUUAUUCGUUUUAGAGCUCAGUAAAUUCAGUCCCACACCUUUGACCUGGACUGCCACUAGCUCUUCUAGCUGGACAGAUCUCUACUACUUCUGAAUUCCCAUUACAUGGAUUAUUUCUGGGGUUCACAUCAACAAGUAGGUAUCUACUAGCCCAUGUUGAUAUUUGAAAGUUAUGUGAACAUGUCUUAUCCCUCCAAAUCAACUGUAAAUUUCUUAAAAGCUAGCUUUGCAGUAUUUCUAUUAACAAAGUUCUGUAGAGGCACCUUGGACUAACAUUGAGUUAAUAAAGCUAAAUGUCUGGGGAAGUGGAUUUAAUACUUUUUGGACUUAAUGAAAAUGUAAAUUUAGAACAAUGCAGGUUAUAACUCAAAAUUCCAAGUUAUUAUAUCACAGAAUAUUAUUCCUACAGUACAAAUUCACUCUGAUCCCAAGUCACAGUACCUUGCACUCUUAAUUAUAUCCAUUUUGAACUUAUAACUGUCAGAAAUCAAUCCGUCUACUUUCUCUAAACCAGUACAUCUCAAACUGUAGUCUCUAUAUACUACUUGUGUCACUAUCAACUGCAGAUACUUGUUAGAAAACAAACAAACAACAAACAAAAAACCAAUAUUGGGUACUGUCCCCUGGAAUCUACACUUUGAGAAACACUGUUCUAUAUAACAUACCUCAACUGAGUUAAUUUUAUUCCUUCAUUUUGAAACCAUUACCCAUGUUUCUUGUAUGUGAGUAGGACUUUCACAUUAAAUAGGGGAUCCAGUCAAAAUGGUAAAGCAGCCUCUAAAUCCAACCUUAAAAUCCUACAGAUUGUAAAUUUCACAAAAGCCAAGGUCAAGAAGAGGAAUCAUUUUGGCAGUUGAUUUUUAGUGAUACUGUCUCAUUUAUUUCAAAGUGUCAGCAUUUGGUGCCUGCGCACUAUUUCAUGAAUAUUUUGCCUAUGUGAUGCAUCAUUCUGCUGGCCAAAAUCUGUUUCCAUUCCAGAUAAACUCAAAUACAUAUAUUUAAAAAAUUAAUUCAUGUCAUAUUAUGAAAAACUACAUGGAACCAAACUGGAUAACCUAG